rnacentral:misc_RNA from 1 species
AUAUUUUGAAUUAAGUAUAUUCAUAAUAUGUUAUCAGACGAAUGUUGUUAAAGAUAUAGGUUGAUAUUUAUGAAGGGAAAGAAAAGACUUUCCCAACAAACAUUGCACACAAGGUGGAUAUGGAUUUUUUUAAAGAGUGCCAUAAAAACACUCGCUUAUGAAUGAUCCUUCCGCAGGUUCACCUACGGAAA